rnacentral:rRNA from 1 species
CUACGUGCCAGCAGCCGCGGUAAUACGGAAGGUCCAGGCGUUAUCCGGAUUUAUUGGGUUUAAAGGGAGCGUAGGCGGAUUAUUAAGUCAGUGGUGAAAGACGGUGGCUCAACCAUCGUUAGCCAUUGAAACUGGUAGUCUUGAGUGCAGACAGGGAUGCUGGAACUCGUGGUGUAGCGGUGAAAUGCUUAGAUAUCACGAUGAACUCCGAUCGCGAAGGCAGGUGUCCGGGCUGCAACUGACGCUGAGGCUCGAAAGUGUGGGUAUCAAACAGGAUUAGAUACCCUGGUAGUCCACACAGUAAACGAUGUAUACUCGCGGUUUGCGAUAUAAUGUAAGCCGCCAAGCGAAAGCAUUAAGUAUACCACCUGGGGAGUACGCCGGCAACGGUGAAACUCAAAGGAAUUGACGGGGGCCCGCACAAGCGGAGGAACAUGUGGUUUAAUUCGAUGAUACGCGAGGAACCUUACCCGGGCUUGAAUUGCAGAGG